AACACUGCGUUUAGAGCAUGUCUUAGGGUUCACAGUCUUGAUCUAUUCCCUUUAUUCGUUGUUUCAUCAUCUUUAAAGUUUCAAACAUCUCAGCCACUACGAUGGUGGCGUCAGUGGUGGUUUGAGUCAGGGAAUGGCUGUGAAACAUGUCAUCUAACUCGUAAUCAUGUCUUGACCUUAUAUCUUCCUCUUCAUCUCGCUUGGAAUCAUUCUUGGAAUUGCCUCUUCAAUUUCAACCUCCGACAACCACUGUAUUCAGUUGUCGUAACCUCUUUCAACGUCUCAGUCGCGAUUUCAACCUCUCCAUGCGUUUGA